AUCCUCUCCUCCUCCUCCUCUUCCUCUGACAGGAGCAAGAAGACAAUGAAAAAAACACAUGCAGAGAUCUUUUGGGAGGAAAAUAACGACACCCUGAUCAGGUCAUUUACUGGUAGAAGAUGAUCCUGAAACAUUCAGGAAGCUGAUGAGUGCGCCAGAGGCACUAAAAAGACGCACGGCUGACAAAAUUGCAUUGCAUUACCUCAAUAUUAUUGCUGAGAGUCAGCAAAGGUGCAUGUGUGAUCUGAGGCUUUCUCCAAGAUUACUCUUGUUCCUUCCAUUUAGCCAAAUAAAGGAGAAUAAAAGGCAGAGAUGGAAAGUUUUAAAACCUUGUAUUUCCAACUAUGAGAAUUUACUUUCCAUAUUGUGUAUGUGCACAAAAUCACACACCCAAAUAGUGUCCAUAUGAAAUAAACCAUAGCAAACAUAGAUAAAGGCAGACACAUGAAUCUCAGGGACAUUGUAGCUCUAAUUCUACCACACCACUUUAUAAUUCUUGAAUCUUGACAAGCAUCUUACCCUCCUGAUAGCACUCUGACCACGGCCAUGGUCUCAUCUGUCCUCCCCUGGGACACACUAACCAACAGCUCUGAAAAUGGAACUGGAACGUGGCCUGCAACACCCCCACAUCAACAUGACCUGAGGCAGCCGGGGGUUUGUGACAGGUCAGCACUCCAAUCCAGCCUUUUCCUUUCAGCUCCUUGUGCUCGGAGGGAUGACUCACUGGAGUAUUUACUUGACAUGAAAGAUCUUGGACAAAGUGUUUACUGCUGGGCUCAGACAGACAUGAGCAGAGGUGGCACUUUGCCAGUUUGCGGCAGUGUCUCCUUGCAGAACUGCAUCGUUUUGACUCUGCAGCAGAGAUAUGCUCCUGCUGAGACCCAUGCCAUGUUUUGCCACAGGCUAAGUUUGUAAGUUUGCAACUACCCAGCCAGGGAUCCUGGGAGUAAAAGUAACCCAGAAAGCCCUGAGGUAGUCGACAUUCUGCAACUCUCUCAGUUCAGUGCUUUCAUAGCACCUCGAGGGGAAACAACUCUGCAAUCUAUUCCACAUGAAGUUAUGUAGCAGUUUCUUAUUUCUCAGGUCUUCUCGUUAAAACAUUCUCACUAUAUUUGUCGACUGAAAUCAAAUGGGUGAGUCUCUCUGGUGAAGUGCGUGAGUGUAGUGUUUUGUUCAUGCCUGUUGAGAGUUUUGUUUUAGUCAGGUUAGUUUAUUUUGUAUCUCAGACACUUGAUAUUAAUUAUGGAGUUCCUCAAGGAAGCAAUUUGGGCACCAUUUUGUUUUCUUCAUACACUCUGCCUUUGAGUAAUAAGUCAUCAUAAUGUCAAAUACCAAUCUGUUUUGCCAGAUGACAACAGUUCUUUCUUAGUGCCUGUGUACUGACAUCAAUAUUUGGAUGAGUAAAAAAUUUUUUUAAAUAAAUGAGCAAUAAAUAGAAAAUUCUAUACUCAAUGUUUUACUGUCUUGCCAGACAGAUUAAGACACAAGAUAGAGAUCUGAGACUGAUUUUAGCAAUGCCAUAGAUAUAUGGACAUAUCUGUUUUCACUGGAGUAAUAUUGUCAAAAACUUACUUACAAAGUUACUGAAAUGCAACCCAGCAACCCAGUCUCAAAUCAAAAUGUGUAAUAGCAACAUUGGUCCACAGUGUAAAAUGUACUAGUUUCACAGUUCUAAAAUUGUGAGAUGCCUAUGUUUUUUUGGCCUAUUCUUAACUAUUGGCCUGCGUCCAUGUCACGUGACUGUCAAGUUUCUGUCUGCUCAACCAAACAAAAUAGCCGCCAUACCUUUUAUCCUCUCCUUGAAAAUGCAAUAUUUUAAGGUAGUUUCAGCAUUAGAAUGAGUGAAUGUAUUUUGUCUAUUUUUAUUCUCUGUGUUGUGUUUUUUGGGAGCAAACGCCAAGACACAUUAUUUGAAUGCUUGCAUUGGCUAAAACACAUUCUGCACAUUCUGACUGGAUGGGCUAUAUCACGUUGACAUAAAAUCCCAAAAUCAAGAAUCAUAAAGAUACAAAGAAAUCUCCAGGGUUGUGUAAAUUGUAGCCUAUGCAUGAAUGUGUUGGUCUUUUCAGCCCUAGACCUAACCCUAACCCUAACCCUAACCCUAACCCAAGCACUUCAGGGCUUCUUUCAAGCCUGUAUAAUGCCCUAUAUUGUCAGCAGUAUUGUAAUCUCUGAACAUGACACAUUUUGGUCAUUAUUUCCACUAAAAAAGAAAACACAAAU